GAUGAACGCUAGCGGCAGGCUUAAUACAUGCAAGUCGAGGGGUAGCAAGAUUGUAGCAAUACAAUUGUUGACGACCGGCAAACGGGUGCGGAACACGUACACAACCUUCCUACAAGUGGGGAAUAGCCCAGAGAAAUUUGGAUUAAUACCCCGUAACAUAGCGAUGUGGCAUCACAUUGCUAUUAUAGCUUCGGCGCUUGUUGAUGGGUGUGCGGCUGAUUAGAUAGUUGGCGGGGUAACGGCCCACCAAGUCUACGAUCAGUAGCUGAUGUGAGAGCAUGAUCAGCCACACGGGCACCGAGACACGGGCCCGACUCCUACGGGAGGCAGCAGUAAGGAAUAUUGGACAAUGGACGCAAGUCUGAUCCAGCCAUGCCGCGUGAAGGAUUAAGGUCCUCUGGAUUGUAAACUUCUUUUAUAAGGGACGAAAAAAGGUCUUUCUAGAUCGUCUGACGGUACCUUAUGAAUAAGCACCGGCUAACUCCGUGCCAGCAGCCGCAGUAACAC
rnacentral:rRNA from 1 species